AGCUCAAAAAGGCAAGAUGCAAAGGCAUCUCCAUAGAGGCUUAGGGGUUUUGCCAAGAGAAUUAAAAAUGUUUUACAAGGAAUCAAUUCUUGAAAUCAGUGCUGAGACAAGUCCACUUGUGUGACAUCUGCUGAUAAACUGGGAUCAUGAAUAUAAAAUCCAGACUUCUUACAUCAGUCUGAACAUACCAGACAUUCUCUAGGUCACAGGAUUGGAUGGGUUGGAUUGGUCUGAUGAAGAUAUGCAAGGGACCCAGAGUAAGCCAUGCCCUUCUGGAUGCUACAUGUCAGCAUCCUCCCCCGUGUCAGCAAAGAAGAGCUCUGCUGACGUGGAGAAUACGUGUCUGAAGCCAGUUACAUCAGCUCUGCCCCAGCUCCAGGCAUGUUGUAGCAGAA